AGCGAACGCUGGCGGCAGGCUUAACACAUGCAAGUCGAACGGGCAUCUUCGGAUGUCAGUGGCAGACGGGUGAGUAACACGUGGGAACGUACCCUUCGGUUCGGAAUAACUCAGGGAAACUUGAGCUAAUACCGGAUACGCCCUUUUGGGGAAAGGUUUACUGCCGAAGGAUCGGCCCGCGUCUGAUUAGCUUGUUGGUGGGGUAACGGCCUACCAAGGCGACGGUCAGUAGCUGGUCUGAGAGGAUGAUCAGCCACACUGGGACUGAGACACGGCCCAGACUCCUACGGGAGGCAGCAGUGGGGAAUAUUGGACAAUGGGCGCAAGCCUGAUCCAGCCAUGCCGCGUGAGUGAUGAAGGCCUUAGGGUUGUAAAGCUCUUUUGUCCGGGACGAUAAUGACGGUACCGGAAGAAUAAGCCCCGGCUAACUUCGUG
rnacentral:rRNA from 1 species